rnacentral:rRNA from 1 species
GUGGGGAAUUUUGGACAAUGGGCGAAAGCCUGAUCCAGCAAUGCCGCGUGCAGGAUGAAGGCCCUCGGGUUGUAAACUGCUUUUGUACGGAACGAAAAGCUCUGGGCUAAUACCCUGGAGUCAUGACGGUACCGUAAGAAUAAGCACCGGCUAACUACGUGCCAGCAGCCGCGGUAAUACGUAGGGUGCAAGCGUUAAUCGGAAUUACUGGGCGUAAAGCGUGCGCAGGCGGUUUUGUAAGACAGUGGUGAAAUCCCCGGGCUCAACCUGGGAACUGCCAUUGUGACUGCAAAGCUAGAGUGCGGCAGAGGGGGAUGGAAUUCCGCGUGUAGCAGUGAAAUGCGUAGAUAUGCGGAGGAACACCGAUGGCGAAGGCAAUCCCCUGGGCCUGCACUGACGCUCAUGCACGAAAGCGUGGGGAGCAAACAGGAUUAGAAACCCCUGUAGUCC